rnacentral:rRNA from 1 species
AACGAACGCUGGCGGCAUGCCUAACACAUGCAAGUCGAACGAGACCUUCGGGUCUAGUGGCGCACGGGUGCGUAACGCGUGGGAACCUGCCCUUAGGUUCGGAAUAACUCCCCGAAAGGGGUGCUAAUACCGGAUAAUGUCUUCGGACCAAAGAUUUAUCGCCUUUGGAUGGGCCCGCGUUGGAUUAGCUAGUUGGUAGGGUAAAAGCCUGCCAAGGCGACGAUCCAUAGCUGGUCUGAGAGGAUGAUCAGCCACACUGGGACUGAGACACGGCCCAGACUCCUACGGGAGGCAGCAGUGGGGAAUGUUGGACAAUGGGCGAAAGCCUGAUCCAGCAAUGCCGCGUGAGUGAUGAAGGCCUUAGGGUUGUAAAGCUCUUUUACCCGGGAUGAUAAUGACAGUACCGGGAGAAUAAGCGCCGGCUAACUCCGUG